rnacentral:rRNA from 1 species
UACAGAGGGGGCAAGCGUUGUUCGGAAUUACUGGGCGUAAAGGGCGCGUAGGCGGCCUGUUAAGUCGGACGUGAAAUCCCCGGGCUCAACCCGGGAACUGCAUCCGAUACUGGCAGGCUUGAAUUCGGGAGAGGGAUGUGGAAUUCCAGGUGUAGCGGUGAAAUGCGUAGAUAUCAGGAGGAACACCUGUGGUGUAGACAGCUUACUGGACCACUUCUGACGCUGAGACACGAAAGCGUGGGUAGCAAACAGG